AAAUUUACAGGUGAGGAAAGUCCGGGCUCCACCGGAAAAAAUGCCUGAUAAUUACAGGGCAGACGGCGGCAGUUGCAUUUUUAUGUAUAACCCGCUUUCUGACAGAAAGUGUCACAGAAAACAAACCGCCUGGAAACAGGUAAGGGUGCAAAGGUGAGGUAAGAGCUCACCGCGCAGAUGGCAACACCUGCGGCAGGACAAACCUCAUUUGGAGCAAAGUCAAGCAGUGGUCUUGGUUUCCGGCCUUUUGACCACGGGUAGACUGCUAAAGGCUUUUGGCGACAAAAGUUUCGGAUAGAUGGUUAUGCGCCGGAAAUGGUUUUUAACUUUUCCCGGCAGGACAGAACCCGGCUUAUUUUCUUUUC
rnacentral:RNase_P_RNA from 1 species